rnacentral:lncRNA from 1 species
GUAAGAAAGUAUUAUUAUCUGUUUUUAUUAGCCCUGAAAGUGUUUUUUAAGUCAAAUUUUGUGCUCUUAAAUAUGGCUAGUUCGGCCAGCCAGACAUAAAAGAACAUAGCUUUUCGUCCCAUUUGCUGUAUGUUUUCAUUCGAAAGUAACAUUAAUAUAUUACUUGAAACGAAAUUUAUAAACUAUGAAAGUUACAAUCCAUGUACACUUUGACAAUUCAUGAACUCAUUCUUGCAAUAGAUAUACAGUAUCUCUGAUGUAUAUUACAGUGUCAGUAUAUAUGUCUUCAUCACAAUUUCUCUGCCAAGUUUAAUAAACAUGUCUUUUUAAGUUCACUGUUUUCUUGAAUUAGAUAUUUAUCUACUAAAUUUUGCCCAACUUAUUCAGAUGCAGCCCAGAUAGUAUCAAACUAUGUAGAAUAUAGUUUAUAAACUGAGCACUACAGGGUGUAUCAAAAAAAGCGCAAUCCUCGACUGAAAUGUAAAUUGCUAAACAAAUAAUAGACGAAAACGUUAAAGUUUACAUUCAUUUUAAAGCGUAGCCAUUCAGCUUUCUAACAGUGAGUUGUUUCUUAAAUUUGACUCAUUGGUUCGUGGGUAAU